rnacentral:ncRNA from 2 species
GGUCACGAGUGCCAGCGCGAAGCCCCGGCUCGCUGGACGGCAACCCUCCUCCGCGGCGGGGUGCCCCGGGUGAUGACCGGGCCGCCGCGACACCCGCAGUCGGCAAGCGCGGAUC